rnacentral:misc_RNA from 1 species
UUUCCGUAGGUUAACCUGCGGAAGGAUCAUUAUUGUAUAACCGAGGGGCGAGGGCUGUCGCUGACGCGAAAGGUCGUGCACGCCCGAGUGCCCUCACACACAUCCAUCUCACCCCUAUGUGCACCACCGCGUGGGUCCCCCUUUGGCUUGUUCGGAGGGGGGCUUACGUUUUCACACAAACUUUGUAUGCAGUGUAGAAUGUAUUUUUUGUUUUUGCGAUCACGCAAUCAAUACAACUUUCAACAACGGAUCUCUUGGCUCUC